rnacentral:rRNA from 1 species
UACGGAAGGCAGCAGUGGGGAAUAUUGCACAAUGGGCGAAAGCCUGAUGCAGCUAUGCCGCGUGUAUGAAGAAGGCCUUAGGGUUGUAAAGUACUUUCAUCGGGGAGGAAAAAACAAAACUAAUAAUUUUAUUUCUUGACGUUACCCGAAAAAGAAGCACCGGCUAACUCCGUGCCAGCAGCCGCGGUAAUACGGAGGGUGCUAGCGUUAAUCAGAAUUACUGGGCGUAAAGAGCACGUAGGUGGUUUUUUUAAGUCAGAUGUGAAAUCCCUGGGCUUAACCUAGGAACUGCAUUUUGAAACUGAAAUACUAGAGUAUCGUAGAGGGAGGUAGAAUUCUAGGUGUAGCGGUGAAAUGCGUAGAUAUCUGGAGGAUACCUGUGGCGAAAGCGGCCUCCUAAACGAAUACUGACACUGAGGUGCGAAAGCGUGGGGAGCAAACAGGGAUUAGAUACC